rnacentral:rRNA from 1 species
UGGAUUGGUGGGCGCUUGUGUGUUCAGCCUUCGGGUGCAUUGGCACAAGUGCUUAUCCGCUGUGAGUUUUCGGGGGUCGAUUUUGGAUCCCUGGAGACUGAGGGCUCCCUUUUAGGUGAGGACAGCGGAGUGACGACGCGAUACGACCCGUCUUGAAACACGGACCAAGGAGUCUAGCGCGGGUGCGAGUCGGAGGGUGCAAGCCCGUGGGCGAAGUGAAAGCGAGUUUAAAAACGAGCAGUUUGGGGCGGCAUAAGAUCGUUGAUCUUAAGACCGACCCAGAGCAGUUGCGCUGGGACCCGAAAGAUGGUGAACUAUGCCGGAGUAGGGCAAAGCCAGAGGAAACUCUGGUGGAGGCUCGUAGCGGUGCUGACGUGCAAAUCGCUCGUCGAACUUGGGUAUAGGGGCGAAAGACUAAUCGAACCAUCUAGUAGCUGGUUCCCUCCGAAGUUUCUCUCAGGAUAGCGGGCCGACAAGUUGUUUUGUGCGGUAAAGCGAAUGAUUAGCGCAAUUGGGGGCGUCAAGCCUUCGGGCGAUUCUCAAACUUUCAAUGCGCAAGGGUGCCGCUGCUUAAUUGAGCGGUACCGGUAAAAACGUCGGCCCUGUGGGCCACUUUUGGUAAGCAGAACUGGCGAUACGGGAUGAACCGUAAGCAAGGUUAAGGCGCCAAACUGCCCGCUUAUAGACCCCACAAAAGGUGUUGAUUCAUCGAGACAGCAGGACGGUGGCCAUGGAAGUCGGAAUCCGCCAAGGAGUGUGUAACAACUCACCUGCCGAAUGAAUUAGCCCUGAAAAUGGAUGGCGCUGAAGCGGGCGGCCGACACCUUGCCGUCUGGACAAGAAUUUCAGAUGAGUAGGAGGGCGUGGCGGUCGUGUCGAAGCACGCGUGCAGACGCUUGUGGAACGACCGCUAGUGCAGAUCUUGGUGGUAGUAGCAAGUAUUCAAGCGAGAUCCUUGAAGGGCGAAGUGGGGAAGGGUUUCACGCGAACAUUGAUUGGGCGUGAGUGAGUCGUUCCUAAGCCGAGUGGCAAUUGCUAAUUAACGGCGAAAGGGAAGCGGGUUGACAUUCCCGCACACGGAUGUGGAGGCGGCGACGCAUUAUUGGGGCGAACACGCUGGCGAUGGCGCUGGGCAGAGUUGUCUUUUCUGUUUGACCACUUGCGCACGCAGUGUGGAAUCCUCUUAUAGGGAGAAACACGCGUGUACGGGCAGAGCGCUGGGGCUUUUCCAGCGUCCAGCUCGCCAUCGACGGCCCUUGAAACUUUGCCUGCUGAUAUAAGAUCCACGCCGUGGCGUACCGAUAACCGCAUCAGGUCCCCAAGGUGAACAGCCUCUGCUCAAUAUGAAAAAUGCAGGUAAGGGAAGUCGGCAAAUUAGACCCGUAACUUUGGGAAAAGGGUUGGCUCUAGUGCUGCGUGGGAGUGGUUGUUGGACGCUGGCGUUUUUAGCGUGGCGGCUUGGCGCGGGACUCCUUCGGGGGACCUGUUCCUACUGCUACGCCGAUUGCGCCACGGCCGACGACGCCCACAGCAUGCAGCAGACUAGAACUGCAACGGGCAAAGGGAAUCCGACUGUUUAAUUAAAACAAAGCAU